GCAAAAACUCAUGAUAUGACCCCCUCUUACUGCAAGGAGACUGGGACAUGUCUUCUAGCCUUAUGCCUAGAAAGAAGCACGGAUAUGGAUAAGACUCUACACAAAGAUUGGACCACAUGGAAGCUUGGGAUUUUUCUUGGGUUACAUGAGCAAAGUGACUCCAUUUUUUAACCUCUGAGCUGAUCAGAGGAAUCCACGUUAUAUGCAGAAGAGAAUUAUAGUAGGCAUACUUCACAAGGUAGAAAAUUCUACUCGGACACACACGAAGACCAUACGAAGAUGCGGAGAGAUGUUCACCUACAAGCCAGGAAGAAAGACGUUGGAACAAACUAACCCUGCUGACACUCUGAUCUUGGAUGUUUAGCUUUCAGAAUCACGACAGAACAAAUUUCUGUUCU